rnacentral:rRNA from 1 species
UUGAUCCUGGCUCAGAUUGAACGCUGGCGGCAGGCUUAACACAUGCAAGUCGAGCGGUAGCACAGGGGAGCUUGCUCCCUGGGUGACGAGCGGCGGACGGGUGAGUAAUGUCUGGGAAACUGCCUGAUGGAGGGGGAUAACUACUGGAAACGGUAGCUAAUACCGCAUAACGUCGCAAGACCAAAGAGGGGGACCUUCGGGCCUCUUGCCAUCAGAUGUGCCCAGAUGGGAUUAGCUAGUAGGUGGGGUAAUGGCUCACCUAGGCGACGAUCCCUAGCUGGUCUGAGAGGAUGACCAGCCACACUGGAACUGAGACACGGUCCAGACUCCUACGGGAGGCAGCAGUGGGGAAUAUUGCACAAUGGGCGCAAGCCUGAUGCAGCCAUGCCGCGUGUGUGAAGAAGGCCUUCGGGUUGUAAAGCACUUUCAGCGAGGAGGAAGGUGGUGAGCUUAAUACGCUCAUCAAUUGACGUUACUCGCAGAAGAAGCACCGGCUAACUCCGUGCCAGCAGCCGCGGUAAUACGGAGGGUGCAAGCGUUAAUCGGAAUUACUGGGCGUAAAGCGCACGCAGGCGGUUUGUUAAGUCAGAUGUGAAAUCCCCGGGCUCAACCUGGGAACUGCAUUUGAAACUGGCAAGCUAGAGUCUCGUAGAGGGGGGUAGAAUUCCAGGUGUAGCGGUGAAAUGCGUAGAGAUCUGGAGGAAUACCGGUGGCG